ACGAGAGUUUUUAACUCAAGUGGCGGACGGGUGAGUAACACGUGAGAAUUUACCUUUAGGAGGGGGACAACAAUUGGAAACGAUUGCUAAUACCCCAUAUGCUCUAGAGUGAAACGGAUUUUUCCGCCUAAAGAAAAGCUCGCGGCUGAUUAGCUUGUUGGUAAGGUAAUGGCUUACCAAGGCGACGAUCAGUAUCUGGUUUGAGAGGACGAUCAGACACACUGGAACUGAGACACGGUCCAGACUCCUACGGGAGGCAGCAGUGGGGAAUUUUCCGCAAUGGGCGAAAGCCUGACGGAGCAAUACCGCGUGAGGGAAGACGGCCUAUGGGUUGUAAACCUCUUUUUUCAGGGAGGAACAAAAUGACGUGUACCUGAAGAAUAAGCAUCGGCUAACUCCGUGCCAGCAGCCGCGGUAAGACGGAGGAUGCAAGUGUUAUCCGGAAUCACUGGGCGUAAAGCGUCUGUAGGUGGUUUGUUAAGUCAACUGUCAAAUCUUGAGGCUCAACUUCAAAUCAGCAGUCGAAACUAUCAGACUAGAGUAUAGUAGGGGUAAAGGGAAUUUCCAGUGGAGCGGUGAAAUGCGUAGAUAUUGGAAAGAACACCGAUGGCGAAGGCACUUUACUGGGCUAUUACUAACACUCAGAGACGAAAGCUAGGGUAGCAAAUGGGAUUAGAUACCCCAGUAGUCCUAGCUGUAAACAAUGGAUACUAGAUGUUGAACAGAUCGACCUAUGCAGUAUUAAAGCUAACGCGUUAAGUAUCCCGCCUGGGAAGUAUGCUCGCAAGAGUGAAACUCAAA
rnacentral:rRNA from 1 species